GGAGGGCUAGUCUAAUUGGUAAGGCAGCGGACUUGAAAUCCGCCGGCCCGGAAACGGGCCCUGGGGGUUCGAGUCCCCCGCCCUCCG
rnacentral:tRNA from 1 species